rnacentral:tRNA from 1 species
AUUUAAAUAAUUUAAUAAAAAUAUUGAUUUGUGGUAUCAAAAAUGUGAAUUAGUUCAUUUUAAAUU